UUUUCAUCUUUUCUCGAAACAGUUGCAAUUUCUAUUCAAUCUCUCUCAUCGUCUUUUUUCCUUGAUCUGCAAUGGUAGAAAGUCGAUCUGACUUUUUAUCUCUUUUACGGAAGAUUUUGACCUUUAUUUAUUGCAAUCAGAGGUGUCUAAGUUCAUUUUGAGUAAUUAUUUAUGAAAAAUCUUCAUGAAAUAUUGAGAUUUUAAUCGAGAUAUCUUAAAAUCUCAUUAUACACAUACAAGGUGGUCUCUUUUGCAGGAUUCCUUUUUUCUUUGGCCUUUUUAGAUGGUGGAUCUAAAGGUUUCGGAGUUAAGACCAUUGACAUUCAAGAAUAGAUCUCUGAUCGAAAGUAUUUAUAUUUAUUGCACCCGGAAAG